AUGAACGCGCUGGUCGACACGACGGGCGUGGACAUCCGGCUGCCGAUGCUGGUGUACGUUUCGCGCGAGAAGAGGCCCGGGUACAACCACAACAAGAAGGCCGGCGCCAUGAACGCGCUGGUCAGGACGAGUGCCAUCAUGUCGAACGGGCCCUUCAUCCUCAACCUGGACUGCGACCACUACGUGCACAACUCGGCGGCGCUCCGCGAAGGGAUGUGCUACAUGCUCGACUGCCGCGGCGACCGCGUCUGCUACGUGCAGUUCCCGCAGCGGUUCGAGGGCAUCGACCCCAACGACCGGUACGCCAACCACAACCUCGUCUUCUUCGAUGUCGCCAUGCGCGCCAUGGACGGGCUGCAGGGCCCCAUGUACGUCGGAGGCUGCAUCUUCCGCCGCAUCGCUCUGUAUGGGUUCAGCCCACCGCGCGCCACCAAGCACCACGGCUGGCUCGGCAGGAAGAUCAAGCUGUUCCUGAGGAAGCCCACCAUGGGGAAGAAGACGGACAGGGAGCUGGUCAUGGCGAUUUUGCAAAAAUAA
rnacentral:rRNA from 1 species